rnacentral:hammerhead_ribozyme from 1 species
AUCCAGUUGACGAGUCCCAAUUAGGGCGAAAUGCGCAUCCUGGAU